GCAUUGGUAGUUCAGUGGUAGAAUUCUCACCUUCCAUGUGGGAGACAUGAAUCUCUCAACGGCAGUGGGCUUGAACGUGGUUUGGUUGUGGGAGUCCUGGGUUUGAUUCCAGCCAAUGUA
rnacentral:tRNA from 1 species